rnacentral:rRNA from 1 species
UGGGGAAUAUUGCACAAUGGGCGCAAGCCUGAUGCAGCCAUGCCGCGUGUGUGAAGAAGGCCUUCGGGUUGUAAAGCACUUUCAGCGGGGAGGAAGGCGUUAAGGUUAAUAACCUUGGCGAUUGACGUUAUCCGCAGAAGAAGCACCGGCUAACUCCGUGCCAGCAGCCGCGGUAAUACGGAGGGUGCAAGCGUUAAUCGGAAUUACUGGGCGUAAAGCGCACGCAGGCGGUCUGUCAAGUCGGAUGUGAAAUCCCCGGGCUCAACCUGGGAACUGCAUUCGAAACUGGCAGGCUAGAGUCUUGUAGAGGGGGGUAGAAUUCCAGGUGUAGCGGUGAAAUGCGUAGAGAUCUGGAGGAAUACCGGUGGCGAAGGCGGCCCCCUGGACAAAGACUGACGCUCAUGUGCGAAAGCGUGGGGAGCAAACAGG